GUGCUGGUGGAACCAGUCUCUCUAAGAAAACAAAUCAUGUAAUUCUUCUCCCGUAAUGAAGGGUUUUGUGUCUGGCAGAGAAUGUGUUAAGUUUGAAUGACAAGCUGGUUGUUAUCAGAGGGAAUCUCUUUAAAGGUCAGUUAAGCAGAGGGUGGAAUAUUUUGAUAUAAUGGGAGAACCUCAGGCCAGUUCCCACUGGGUCAAUCUGUUAUUGUCUACAACACUCAAUCAUUUCAGCUUCACUGCACCUUCUUUUAGAGAAUGGUAUACAUUUCAAAGUUAGGAAAAUACAGAUUACUAAAUUCAAAGUGUACCUAGCCACCAGAGAAAUCAUUGCAGAGAUAGUCUAGAGCAGCGGUAGACAACAGUCGACACUCCAGAUGUUGUGGACUAUAACGCCCCUGAUGCUUUCCCAACAUCAUGGCUGUAAGAGCAUAAUGGGAGAUGUAGUCCACAGUGCCAAAGGUUGAACAACCCUGGUCCAGAGAUUAUGGGUUCACUAGAGUGUGUACAAUGUAGCUAGACAAGUAUUUCUUAAAGUGACACAAAGCACCAUAACCACAAUCCAGCUGAUUGUAAUUAGUAUGGUACUUUAAAUCAGGGGUGUCAAACGGUGAAUGUGGUUUUACAAAACCGGGGCUUUCCCAGCCCGUCAGCUGCUUCUGC